rnacentral:rRNA from 1 species
GACGAACGCUGGCGGCGUGCUUAACACAUGCAAGUCGAACGGAAAGGCCCCUUUGGGGGUACUCGAGUGGCGAACGGGUGAGUAACACGUGAGUAACCUGCCCUUGACUUCGGGAUAACUUCAGGAAACUGGGGCUAAUACCGGAUAGGAAUCCUUGCUGCAUGGUGGGGGUUGGAAAGCUUCGGCGGUUUUGGAUGGAUUCGCGGCUUAUCAGCUUGUUGGUGGGGUAGUGGCUUACCAAGGCUUUGACGGGUAGCCGGCCUGAGAGGGCGACCGGCCACAUUGGGACUGAGAUACGGCCCAGACUCCUACGGGAGGCAGCAGUGGGGAAUAUUGCACAAGGGGCGGAAGCCUGAUGCAGAAACGCCGCGUGCGGGAUGACGGCCUUCGGGUUGUAAACCGCUUUCAGCAGGGGCGAAGCUUGUGGUGACGGUACCUGCAGAAGAAGCACCGGCUAACUACGUG